rnacentral:rRNA from 1 species
CCUGGUUGAUCCUGCCAGUAGUCAUAUGCUUGUCUCAAAGAUUAAGCCAUGCAUGUCUCAGUACAAGCCAAAUUAAGGUGAAACCGCGAAAGGCUCAUUAAAUCAGUUAUGGUUCCUUAGAUCGUACCACUUUUACUUGGAUAACUGUGGUAAUUCUAGAGCUAAUACAUGCAAACAGAGUUCCGACCGGAGACGGAAGGAGCGCUUUUAUUAGAUCAAAACCAAUCGGUGCCGCGGUGGCAACAUCGUGGUAUCGUACUCAAUUGGUGACACUGAAUAACUUUUGCUGAUCGCACGGUCACGCACCGGCGACGUAUCUUUCAAAUGUCUGCCUUAUCAACUGUCGAUGGUAGGUUAUGCGCCUACCAUGGUUGUAACGGGUAACGGGGAAUCAGGGUUCGAUUCCGGAGAGGGAGCCUGAGAAACGGCUACCACAUCCAAGGAAGGCAGCAGGCGCGCAAAUUACCCACUCCCGGCACGGGGAGGUAGUGACGAAAAAUAACGAUACGGGACUCAUCCGAGGCCCCGUAAUCGGAAUGAGUACACUCUAAAACUUUUAACAAAAAUCAAUUAGAGGGCAAGUCUGGUGCCAGCAGCCGCGGUAAUUCCAGCUCUAAUAGCGUAUAUUAAAGUUGUUGCGGUUAAAAAGCUCGUAGUCGAAUUUGUGUCCCGCGCCGCUGGUUCAUCGCUCGCGGUGUUCAACUGGCGUGUGGCGGGACGUCCUGUCGGUGGGCUCUGCGGAUUGAUCGCCCUGCGGUCGUUCGUAGCCCUGUGCGUGCCCGCUCCGUGUGGGUGCGUUCCCCAUCGCGGUGCUCUUUAUUGAGUGUCGAGGUGGGCCGGCACGUUUACUUUGAACAAAUUAGAGUGCUUAAAGCAGGCCAAUUUUGCCUGAAUACUGUGUGCAUGGAAUAAUGGAAUAGGACCUCGGUUCUAUUUUGUUGGUUUUAGGAAUGCCGAGGUAAUGAUUAAUAGGAACGGAUGGGGGCAUUCGUAUUGCGACGUUAGAGGUGAAAUUCUUGGAUCGUCGCAAGACGGACAGAAGCGAAAGCAUUUGCCAAAAACGUUUUCAUUGAUCAAGAACGAAAGUUAGAGGUUCGAAGGCGAUCAGAUACCGCCCUAGUUCUAACCAUAAACGAUGCCAGCUAGCGAUCCGCCGACGUUCCAUAUAUGACUCGGCGGGCAGCUUCCGGGAAACCAAAGCUUUUGGGUUCCGGGGGAAGUAUGGUUGCAAAGCUGAAACUUAAAGGAAUUGACGGAAGGGCACCACCAGGAGUGGAGCCUGCGGCUUAAUUUGACUCAACACGGGAAAUCUCACCAGGUCCGGACACCGGAAGGAUUGACAGAUUGAGAGCUCUUUCUUGAUUCGGUGGGUGGUGGUGCAUGGCCGUUCUUAGUUCGUGGAUUGAUUUGUCUGGUUAAUUCCGAUAACGAACGAGACUCAAGCCUAUUAAUUAGACGUACUAACCGGCAUCUUAAAGGUCCGCCAGCCGUUCGAUUUCGGUCGUUCGUGUUGUUGCGCGAUUUUUACUGUCGGCGUACAAUAAAUUCUUCUUAGAGGGAAUGGCGGCUUUUAGCCGCAUGAGAUUGAGCAAUAACAGGUCUGUGAUGCCCUUAGAUGUCCUGGGCCGCACGCGCGCUACAAUGAAGGAAUCAGCGUGUCUUCCCUGGCCGAGAGGUCCGGGUAAUCCGCUGAAAAUCCUUCGUGCUAGGGAUUGGGGCUUGCAAUUGUUCCCCAUGAACGAGGAAUUCCCAGUAGGCGCGAGUCAUAAACUUGCGCCGAUUAAGUCCCUGCCCUUUGUACACACCGCCCGUCGCUACUACCGAUUGAAUGAUUUAGUGAGGUCUUCGGACUGGUACGCGGCGGCGUUUCGACGACCGCCGAUGUUUUGCUGGAAAGAUGACCAAACUUGAUUAUUUAGAGGAAGUAAAAGUCGUAACAAGGUUUCCGUAGGUGAACCUGCGGAAG